CGAACGUAACAUGAAUAGUCUAAGAAUCUUUGAAGCGAAUUAAGUAUUUGGGCAGUCUGUUCCUCUAAUGUGUAUCAUAUUCAUUCUAGAUUAUGCAAUUUUCGAAAUCCCCAGAUAUAAAUAUCGUCAUAAAAGAAGCUUUAAGAUCUAGCUUCUUUUAAUACGUACAUGUUUCAGUGGAAAGUAUUCCUACAUUCGCCAUUUCAGUUUCACUUGCCAAUGCAAUUCAGACUUACAAAUAGUUUGUCAUCCUGCAAAGCUAUAAAUACAAAGAAAUACUUCUAAAAUUUGGCCGCUUGGGUAAGCAGUGUGUAAAUAGUAAUAUCGUAAUUCAGAGAAAUGGAUGCUGUAAUUGGAUUCAGCGAAAUUUUGAUAGUUUUGUUAAAGGCCGGGCAAACUAAUAUGUGGAUAGCAAUAACGUUUUGAGAACAACGAAAUGCCUGUUGUGGCUGUUAUUAUUAAGGCAUAUAUAUUAACUUGCCAAGACUGCCACAAAUUAUAUAGGACAAACAGGUAGAAAUUUCAAAUUAAGUUUAAAGAAUACGUCAAGGAUAUAAAAGCUAAAAAAAAAACAAGCACAGGAUUUUCCCAACAUAUUCUACAAAAUGAACACUCGUACGGCACCUUGGAAGAUACAAAGAAAAUUCUUUAAGAGGCCAAAAAGGGUAGUUACACGAACACACUAGAAGAAACAUUCCACAUAUACAACAGCGUUAAAAAAUGCGUUCAUUUUCACGAAACAAACCCAGAUAACAACAACCCAGUUUUUGAAAUCCUGAUGAACGCCAAUAACACCUAGAGAAUGUUCUCUCCAUCCCGUACCGUUAUCGGCCUACUCCACCCCCCGCCCCGUUCGUCUUCUACCCCUAAACAUACCAACCACUUCAGUUCACAGUCAAGCUUUUAACAGGUAACUACACGUACAGUGCAUAGCCCAGUCUACUAAAAUAGGUGUAAUGAACAUGCAGGUUAUGUGAGAUUGGGGUUCUCACGGUGAAAACUGUGAAAAUGGCCAAUGGACACAGAAAGUACCUCUGAAAUCUUACUCAUCGCCCUGAUGAUGGUGGCAGUAAUCACCUCUAGGAUGUUGGUAAAUGUCUACCAAACUACACAGUGCAACAUUCUAGUCUUCAGUGAUAGCUGGAAGUCAUUUUCAUUUAUGGCACUGCAAGUAUGUCUCCUUUCAGAAUUAUGAUUAACAUGUUUUAGAUGUCCCUUGUGUGAUGGGAGUGCCAUGUAGCAGGCUAGAACAGAAGCUACAUUUGUGAUUUA